ACAACCUCCUUGAGUGAGCGA
rnacentral:miRNA from 3 species